rnacentral:rRNA from 1 species
UACGUAGGGGGCGAGCGUUGUCCGGAUUUAUUGGGCGUAAAGAGCGUGUAGGCGGCCAGACAGGUCCGUUGUGAAAACUCGAGCUCAACCUCGAGACGCCGAUGGAAACCGUUUGGCUAGAGUCCGGAAGAGGAGAGUGGAAUUCCCGAUGUAGCGGUGAAGUGCGCAGAUAUCGGGAAGAACACCCGUGGCUAAGGCGGCUCUCUAGUACGGUACUGACGCUGAGACGCGAAAGCGUGGGGAGCGAACAGG